rnacentral:tRNA from 1 species
GGGGAUUUAGCUCAGUGGUAGAGCGCUUGCUUAGUAAGCACAAGGCCCUGGGUUCAGUCCCCA